UCUGCGUUAAAAAUUAAUAAUACAAUUUUUAAUUAUAAUUUUAUUUAUUAUUUGUGCUAUAAUGAUUAACAUGUUGGAGUUUGUUAUACGCAUGCUCAAGGAGUGCAACAUGCAUGUGGGCAAAUCAAGAGUGUUGGCUGUUCAGACCAGCAUCUGAUGGGCUAUAUUUAAAAUGUCAUGUGAACAACCUAAACAAAAAUACAGAUUUGAGCAAAAAAUCAGGUCUGGGCCACAUUCACCUGCGAUGUGAACGUAGCCUUAGAUCAUCAGUGCUACAGCUUCUCUCGCAGCAGUCUGCGGCUCAGCGGACACGUGUGGAGUUUAUAGUGAGCACGCAGUGAGCAGCGCACUGGCGCAUUUUUGCUGAACAUCAACCUGUUAAUUUGUAAUAAUGUUGAUACACAUAUAUAAAAAGAGGAAUCUCUACAAACAAACGAUGUGAUUAAGCUUUCACUCCUGUUUUUGAACAACAAAGUACACUAUAGCUUGUUCUCAGUGGGACUCUGGAACUGCCAGUCUGCUGUGAACAAAGCUGCAGUCAUUCCAGCCUUUGCCACACAGUUCACCCUCAGCAUCCUGGCACUGACGGAGACAUGGAUACGUCCUGAGGAUACAGCAACACCUGCUGCUCUCUCCAACAACUUCUCCUUCUCUCACACCCCUUGUCAUACCGGUAGUUGUGGGGGAACAGGUUUGCUCAUUCAUAAUAACUGGACUUUUUCACCACAGGCUUCGCUAUGUAACAAUACAUCUUUUGAAUUCCAUGCCAUUACUACAAUGCAUCCCACAAAAAUACAUGUUGUUGUCUUCUAUCGCCCUCCAGGUCAGCUGACAAGCUUUCUUGAGGAGUUGGAUGUCCUGGUGUCCUCCUUGCCAGAGGAUGGCAGGCCACUUGUGGUUCUUGGUGAUUUCAACAUACACCAAGACAAGCCUCAGGCCACUGGACUGAAUACUCUUCUGACCUCAUUUGAUUUGGAAAGGCUACACACCACAGCAACUCACAGAUCGGGCAACCAGCUGGACCUCAUUUUUACACACCAGUUCGUACUACACCACCCAGCCUGUUCUUCGUGAACAUCAGACUGAUCUCAGAGCAGAUGAGAGGAGAUGGCAUAAAUCUAGAGAUCCAGCAGAUCUAGAGCUCACAAGAAAACACGAGCCGUAGUCGAGCGGGGUAUUGGUCAACUAAAGAGGCGCUUUCACAUUUUACAUGGAGAGGUGUGACUGGCACCAGGAAAGGUCUGCAAAGUGAUAACAGCCUGUGCAGUGCUUCAUAACAUCUGUAAAGCUAGACAAAUCGCAGACCCUCCCACGGACAACUGGGCUGAUGAAGAGGAUGAUGAAGAAUACCCUCCACAAGGGAGAGAUCUGUCCCAAAGUGGGAAUCCUUACAGAGCCCAGUUUACUAAUUUGCAUUUCAUGGAUGGUGUUGGAGCAGCUGCAGCAGAAGGCAGGGAAUGAGGCGCUUCGGGCUGAGGGUCGUACAUCUGCGAUGUCGACGGUCCCCAUUCCUCUGCUGAAGGCUCAGUGCUACUGAGAGCAGAAAACAUAUAAUCUCUGUUAUUUUAAAUAAAUUUAGGCCAAUUAUUUUUUUUUUUCAGUUCAAAGAAUGCCAG